rnacentral:rRNA from 1 species
AGUGAACGCUGGCGGUAGGCCUAACACAUGCAAGUCGAACGGCAGCACAGUAAGAGCUUGCUCUUACGGGUGGCGAGUGGCGGACGGGUGAGGAAUACAUCGGAAUCUACUUUUUCGUGGGGGAUAACGUAGGGAAACUUACGCUAAUACCGCAUACGCCCUACGGGUGAAAGCAGGGGAUCUUCGGACCUUGCGCGAUUGAAUGAGCCGAUGUCGGAUUAGCUAGUUGGCGGGGUAAAGGCCCACCAAGGCGACGAUCCGUAGCUGGUCUGAGAGGAUGAUCGGCCACACUGGAACUGAGACACGGUCCAGACUCCUACGGGAGGCAGCAGUGGGGAAUAUUGGACAAUGGGCGCAAGCCUGAUCCAGCCAUAGCGCGUGGGUGAAGAAGGCCUUCGGGUUGUAAAGCCCUUUUGUUGGGAAAGAAAAGCAGCAGGUUAAUACCCCGCUGUUCUGACGGUACCCAAAGAAUAAGCACCGGCUAACUUCGUG